rnacentral:rRNA from 1 species
AUACAGAGGGUGCGAGCGUUAAUCGGAAUUACUGGGCGUAAAGCGCACGUAGGCGGCUGAUUAAGUCAGAUGUGAAAUCCCAGGGCUCAACCUUGGAACUGCAUCUGAUACUGGUCAGCUAGAGUUUAGGAGAGGGAAGUAGAAUUUCAGGUGUAGCGGUGAAAUGCAUAGAUAUCUGAAGGAAUACCAGUGGCGAAGGCGGCUUCCUGGCCUAAAACUGACGCUGAGGUGCGAAAGCGUGGGUAGCAAACGGGAUUAGAAACCCCAGUAGUCC